UAUAUAUGUCGGAGUUAGUUAUGAAUUAAGAAGAGAAAUUGAUCAAAUCGGAAAAUACAAUGAAGUUGCAACACUUCCAUCAUGAAGUUGCAACGCUCUGACGUCAGGUGGCGUACGAGCAGAGCGGGGUGAAGUCGAGGGAGUCACUACAGAGUCGUCGUGUCGAGCGGACGUGCACUGCCGUUCUAGUCGGGCAGUCUACCGCGAACCAUCGUCAUGAGCGGACGUGUCGAAUAAUUACGAGGAGUGCUAUAGUCGCUCACCUAUAACUUGUAGGGACGUCAAGAAAGUGUGAUCGGAAAAGAGUACCUAGCAAGUACGUUCACAUGUCCCGAUGAUUCGGUCCGAAUAUAGGAACCAUGGGUGGUGGAGGGCAAGUAGAGGGCGAGUAGCCCCUUCGCGCUAACGUCCUUAUGCGCGCUAGAUAACGAGAGACUGUGUAACCGUUACGAAUACCGUGACGUUGCCGUGAGUGUGUACCUUAUGCUGUGACUUUAUUUAAUCGUGAUACAAAAACUAUGUGGAAGUAAAUAAAAUGAUUGUGAUACUGAUGACGGCCAUUAUUGUCUUCUAACGCCCACCCUCCAUUAUGAUGAUGAUGUUACGACCGACACCGACCCACUGCUACGACAUCAGAAGCGGGAUUAGUGAACUUGGAUGAAGACAAUGUGAUGCGACGUUCACAACAAGACAAUGCAAGUUUUGAUUAUCACAAUCAGAAGAAGAUUAUGAUGAUUAUCACAUUCGUGUGACCACGUGAUGAAGAUGUAGUCUACAGCCAUGCCUGAAUUUGGAGAUGGACCUGAAUUUGAAGUGACCUUGACCUUGUUAAUGAUCGACAUCACUACAUGCCGUAAGAUAUGAUGGAGUGAACAUCACAAUAUUUCCAUACUGUGUGCAGUCGUGUUUGGAAAUUAUGGUACCUCAACUUGGAAACUGUUAUUACGGUGAGUCGUUUUCAUACUGGAACCUUAUUGUUAUUGACUUCAUUGCUGGGUGAAUUUCCGUUUCUAAUAAUGAGGAAAUUGAUUUAAAAUUAACUUGGAAAUUAUUAUUUCCCUUUGUUUAAAAAGAAAAUUUACGAGACAUAUUGUGUCAAUCCGUGUCAAUAAUAUCGCGUUUUCCAAUCUGUUUUCAUCAUCGUCAAAUCUUUGUAUUUUGGUCUAAAAAUAUUUCGAAUUGGUGUAGACACGCUUAACCUGGGUGGUUAAAGUUGUAUUUUCUCAAUCCAUGCGAAAAGAAAUUAAUCAUGACAUGAUAAUUGAGUCUCGAUAAAUAACGUGUUUUGUAAUCUACCGUCAUUCAUCAAAUGUUUCAAAAUUCAACAUUCUUUAUUGAAAUCUUUUUAAACCGGUUGAAAGAAAGUCACUUGAAUACGAUAAUACAGUGAAUUCUUUUGUUUCAUGUCAUAACUUGCCACGUGGUACGGCAAUUGGUGGAUUGCAAGCGGGGAUGAAAAUGGCGCGGGCUGAGCCGUAGCCGUGUAAAGUGACGACAUCAUGGCAGCGCGUUGUAUACCAGCCGGACUUGCUGCGCUGGUGCUGUUGAAGACCUAAACCAUGUCACAAGACCAGUGGUUGAUCUUUUAUUGGAAAUUCUUAUACGUCCCGGUGAGUCGUAUCUGUUUCACCUGAUUUGAAAUAUGGAAAGUUUUAAUAGGAUACAAACGAAUAUAGUGCAGAAAGUUCUCUUUUGUUAACUUUAAUUAAAUUGGAAAUCGUAAUGAAGUGAAGUAAACAUUGCGAAGUAAAAUGAUUUGGAUUACGAUUAAAUGAAAUAGGCUUAGAAAAUGCCCGAAACAGAGUAAAUCAUUAGUGAGAAAAUUGGAGCAAAACAUUCUAAAUAAUGAUAAUACCGAAUUGGUAAUUGUUUAAAUGCGGUAAUAUUUCCUCGAGGUGUUGGUCGCUACACUGUGACUUUAUGACUUGUGUGUGUGAGAGCAGGGUGCUCUGUCGUUUUGUGGUCGUGGACCAUGGUGGCCAUCCCGGGAGGGGAUGAUGUGACUCAUGACUGUUUUGUAGCGUAACGGCAGUUUGGGGAGGAAUAUUACAGCCUGUUGUGCUUUGCAGUAGAUGUUGAUUUAAUUGAGCAAUGAAAGCUAUGAUUGACCUGUUUCGGAGCAACUAUGAUAGGAAGCUGCGCACUUGUAGUGUUCGGGGCUGCAGCCACUUUUGUGCUGCUCGUCUUAGAAACUACAGGUAUGCGGUCGAAGCCCGGAUUUCAUGUUGACUUUGUAUUUGGUCAUGACAUUGUACCUGAAUCUAAGUCAUGUUGAACUCCGGUAGAAUUAGUCAAACGAAUUAGAAAUUAGUGAUGUAGAAGAAAUUGUGUAACCCAUUGACCUGUUUCGGAGCAACUCUGAUAGGGAGCUGCGCACUUGUAGUGUUCGGGGCUGCAGCCACUUUUGUGCUGCUCGUCUUAGAAACUACAGGUAUGCGGUCGAGGCCUGGAUGUCAUGUUGACUUUGUAUUUGGUCAUGACAUUGUACCUGAAUCUAAGUCAAGUUGACUUCCGGUAGAAUUAGUCAAACUACACGAAUUAGAAAUUAGUGAUGUAGAAGAAAUUUGUAACCCAUGGACCACUAUUCUACCAACUAAAAUGUAAAGUUUGUGUGCUAGCUGUGUUGAGAUAUCGUCACUUGGUGUAAGUGGCAUGAGUUGCUGUCGCUCGAUUUAGGUGGCAGUGACGACUGUGUUGAGAUAUCGUCACUUGGUGUAAGUGGCAUGAGUUGCUGUCGCUCGGUUUAGGUGGCAGCAACGACUGUGUUGAGAUAUCGUCACUUGGUGUAAGUGGCAUGAGUUGCUACCGCUCGAUUUAGGUGGUAGUGACGCCUGGUUGUGAGAUAUCGUCACUCAGUAGAGUGGCAUGAGUUGCUACCGCUCGAUUUAGGUGGUAGUGACGCCUGGUUUUGAGAUAUCGUCGCUCAGUAGAGUGGCAUGAGUUACUAUCGCUCGUUUAGGUGAUAGUAACGACCGAUGUGUAAAGAGUAAUUGGAUUUUCAAGUUUGGUUGUUUAUAGUGUGUGAAUACUGGUCAAUGGUCCGUGUAUUGUUAGUUGAUGAUUUAUCAUGAUGUAAUGUGAGCUCAUGUAGAGUCACAAGUAGAGCUCGUGUAGAGUCACAAGUAGAGCUCGUGUAGAGUCACAAGUAGAGCUCGUGUAGAGUCACAAGUAGAGCUCGUGUAGAGUCACAAGUAGAGCUCGUGUAGAGUCACAAGUAGAGUUCGUGUAGAGUCACAAGUAGAGCUCGUGUAGAGUCACAAGUAGAGCUCGUGUAGAGUCACAAGUAGAGUUCGUGUAGAGUCACAAGUAGAGCUCGUGUAGAGUCACAAGUAGAGCUCGUGUAGAGUCACAAGUAGAGCUCGUGUAGAGUCACAAGUAGAGCUCGUGUAGAGUCACAAGUAGAGCUCGUGUAGAGUCACAAGUAGAGCUCGUGUAGAGUCACAAGUAGAGCUCAUGUAGAGUCCUUUAUAGAGUCUCAUGUUAGGUCAGGAAUGACCGAGCGAACUUGGAUACUGUGCUGUGGUAUAUUGUUUCAGAUUAACACACGAGGACGUGUGUCACGCAGGAUGGCCGUGUCGGAGUUAGUUAUGAAUUAAGAAGAGAAAUUGAUCAAAUCGGAAAAUACAAUGAAGUUGCAACACUUCCAUCAUGAAGUUGCAACGCUCUGACGUCAGGUGGCGUACGAGCAGAGCGGGGUGAAGUCGAGGGAGUCACUACAGAGUCGUCGUGUCGAGCGGACGUGCACUGCCGUUCUAGUCGGGCAGUCUACCGCGAACCAUCGUCAUGAGCGGACGUGUCGAAUAAUUACGAGGAGUGCUAUAGUCGCUCACCUAUAACUUGUAGGGACGUCAAGAAAGUGUGAUCGGAAAAGAGUACCUAGCAAGUACGUUCACAUGUCCCGAUGAUUCGGUCCGAAUAUAGGAACCAUGGGUGGUGGAGGGCAAGUAGAGGGCGAGUAGCCCCUUCGCGCUAACGUCCUUAUGCGCGCUAGAUAACGAGAGACUGUGUAACCGUUACGAAUACCGUGACGUUGCCGUGAGUGUGUACCUUAUGCUGUGACUUUAUUUAAUCGUGAUACAAAAACUAUGUGGAAGUAAAUAAAAUGAUUGUGAUACUGA
rnacentral:lncRNA from 1 species